rnacentral:lncRNA from 1 species
CGUCCGGUGAGUUCAUACCCCUACCCUUUUUCAAUGGUUUUUCAAUGUUUUCAGGGGGGAAUACAAGCAAAAGUACAAGAAUAUCUUGUACUCAAUCACAUGAUUUCAGUUAAAUGGUUUCAUAAUUGUACAUUUUUUAGAAUUGAAAACCUUUUUAACAAACUGUUUAAACUUGCAGUGUUGUUUGUUUUAACCCGAUUUUCAAUUCUUAUCAUAUAUGUUAUAUUGUAUACUUUACAUAUGAUUGUUCCCACAUAUAUUGAUAGAACACAUAAAGUAUUCUAGUGUCUGUAAUAAAACACUUAUGUUCGAGUGUAAAAGACAGACACCAUUAGAAAACAUAAAACAUCUGUAUGUCCUUAACAAUACACCUAGGCUCGAGUGUGAUAGAUAAAUACCAUCGUAACACACAAAUCAAUUGUAACGUCCUUAAUAAUACACCUAGGAUCGAGUGUAAAGGAUAAGUAAUCAUUAAAUAACUUAGAACAACUGUAAUGUCCUUAAUAAAACACCUAGGCUCGAGUGUAAAGGACAGUCAUCAUUUAGAUAACACCUAGGCUCGAGUGUAAUGUCCUUAAUAAAACACCUAGGCUUGAGUGUAAAGGACAGGCACGUUAGAACUUAGUUAGUCAUAGAUACUACUUCUCUAGGCGAGAAGUGAUGAGUAAUCUUAAAGAUUGGAGACACGUCCUUGUAACACUUCCUCGGCACGAGAUAGUAAAGGACUACCCCUGUAACCAGAAUCUCCGUACGUAGGAGAGCGUGACUUGAGUGUAUAGAUCUAUACGGGACUGACAAUCCCACACCUGGUUUCUAGCUAUAGCCGAACCGAAAGGUUCAAGGGUGACGAAAGUCAUAAAAAGGAUAUUGACCACGACUCGAGUCAUAUCUAGUCUUAGUAUGGUUAAGGACUCGCAAUCUAGAUUAUUAACGUUUUAGACUCAUUUACUAGCUUUAUGUACGUAGUAAAGCUAAUGUACGUUCAAGGAUGACAGGCACACACAUACACACAUUCAGGAAAACAUGGGGUUUUCCUGGGGAGAAUGCUGAACAUAACCAGAAUCGGUAAUGAUGCACACACACAUUCAGGAAAAGAUGGGGUUUUCCUAUGGAUAACAAUGAACAUAAUCAGAAUCGGUAACAGUUAGUAUACACAGAAUUGGUAAUAACACACCCUCACUCAUUCAGGAAAACAUGGGGUUUUCCUAUGGAUAAUAAUGAACAUAAUCGGAAUCAGUAUCAGUUAGCUCACACAGAACCAGUAAUAGUUCACACUCACACAUGUAGGAAAUUAUAGGAUUUUCCUGAGUAACAGUAGUAUGUAACCAGAAAAGUAUAAUGAGUUUGAUAACUAAACUUUACAAUUCACAAUAAAUGAUCUUGUUUUUCAUUGUACAUCGUUUACUUUACUUUUCGGAUUUGGAAACUAACUUUACAUAAGAAAAUAUGGGAUUUUCUUGGAUAACCACGUUUUCAGAAAACUAAGGAAACUCGUAGAAGACUCGUUUCUUGUUGUUUAUAUAUGAUAUGUAUCACUUGUAUAACUUAUGCUUUUGAAACAAAUGUAAAACUUUCAUAUAUGUAAUGUAAUGGUUGAUUUACUUUACUUACUAUGUACAUUGGAUUUGAUACUCAAUGUGGAGUCAACCCCGAAAAUGUUUCCGCCUUCGGUUUUCGGGGUGUGACAGAUUGGUAUCAGAGCCCUUGUUUAUAGUGAAUGAAGUAUACCAAACCUUAGAUGGUAUAAAACUAUAAACAUUAAGGGGCCUAAGUGCUCUGAACUAAAAGUAUCCUUCAAAAUAUAAGUAUUUUCAAAAGUAUAUAAGUAUACCGACCUGUCGAGAUCCGUAACUACAAGUAGAACAGAACAUAAGUAAAUGGGUGUUGUAUGCUGCGGUUAAACCUGGGCAAUUAUGUAGUCAUGUCUAGGAUCAAUAUAGCCUGGCCAGCUAUAUUCAUUCGAGACACGGCCAACAUGUGCUUGGGAGUGACUGUGGUAAGCGGCAUGCCUAAAACUUACCCUAAUACCACAAACAUCGAGCUAGUGUCGUAACAAAUCCUGAAAUACUAUCGGAGUAUUUCUCGAUCCAAUCCUUGGUAGAAAUCCUCGUUCAUAUAUUUUUCUUUGAUCAUCCUCUUAGCGAUAAUUUUCUUGUCUUGAUAACUCUAUCCUUCUUUAUCGCUUAUUCAGCAUAUAUCUGUGAUAUCUCUUGAUUAAAUUCAGAGGACUUAUCAUCCUCUUUUCCUUGAUCUUAUUAGAUCAAGAUGCCUCCAAGAAAGAGACCCAACUCCAAGACCAACAACCCUACGCCACCACCUCCUCCUCAAAUUGACCCUGUAGUAUUCCAGGCAGCUGUUACAGCCACGGUAGCAGCUGCCAUGUCUCAACGGAACUCUGGCGGUUCCGGUGUUUCGGGAGGUAAUACCCAAAACCAAAACCAAGAAAGCAGUCAGGGACGCCGGAAAGAGGGUUCCUAUAAGGAUUUCAUGAACGCCAAACCCACGUCCUCUGAUGGCACUGGAGGUGUGAUUUCCCUCACCCGAUGGUUCCAGAAGAUCGAAUCCAUCUUUGAAAUCUGUGCCUGUUCAGAUUCAGACAAGGUGAAGUUUGCCGCCUGCACCUUUAUCGACAAAGCCUUGACUUGGUGGAACGGCCGAGUCAAAUCCCUAACCUUCCUUGUAGCCAACGCCAUGGUUUGGGAAGCCAUGAAGGAACUUCUGCUGGCUGAGUACUGCCAUCGGGACGAAAUGCAGAAGUUAGAACACGAACUUUGGAACCUGAAGAUGAAAGGUUCCGACAUCACUGCUUAUACUUCCAGGUUCGACGACGUGGCACUACUCUGCCCGGGAAUGGUUACCCCGGAGAGUAAGAAGAUAGAGAGAUUCAUCUUGGGUCUGACCCAGCCAACGAAAGCGAACGUUAUAGCCUCGAGGCCGGAUACAUACGACAGCGCCAAACGCUUAGCACAGAUCCUAAUCGAUCAUAGCGAAGACCUUGAGAAGGCAGCCACCACUCCUGAGCCGACAGUGAGGAGUGGUGAGAAAAGAAAACUUGGGAAGAAAGAGAAAGGCCAGGCAUCGCACGAGUCUUUGAAGAGACAACAAACGGUGGUAGUUCACGCUGUCACUUCCCCUUCAACUGUUUAUGUUGUUGGAUCCUCAACUCGAAAACCUGCCAGUAAGUAUGUUGGAACCCUUCCUAGUUGUGACAAGUGCAACUAUCAUCAUCUUCCUUCCGGUCCAUGUAUAGAGAUAAUUUGCAACAAAUGUAGCAUGAAGGGUCACAUGGCGAAAAACUGUAAGACACCAACCCAAUCAACGAGUUAAACUUCCGGAGCGGGCAUUGGUCGGGCCUGCUAUGGUUGUGGAGAAGUUGGGCAUCUUAAGCGAAACUGUCCCAAGGCUGUAACCCCUGGCAACACCAGAAGAGUUCUAGCGAUAGGUCAAGAGGAGACAGCCACCGAUCCCACCGUUGCCACAGGUAUAUUUUCCCUUGUUAAAUUUAUAUGCCUGUGAUUCUUUUCGAUUCUAGCACCGAAAGAAAUUCGUUAACCAUCCAUUUGAACUUUUUCUAACCCGUCGUUUGCGAGUAACCGAAUAUGUAUAUCUUCGAGAUGGUUAUCACGUGAGAACGAGAACGCUUGAAACGUAUCUGUAGAUUGUAUUCUCAAUCCGAGCGAUAUUUUUUUUUCCAUUCGACCUAGUGGCAAACUUUUUAUGAGAUGCUUUGUUGUCACCAUUAGCAUGUAAUGACUGAGCCUCAUUCAUGCUUUCUUUCCUAGUUUCGAGAAAGCCAUUCGUUCCAACCUUCCUCCGACUCGACUUUCAUGAUAUUCAUACAUCAAAGCUUAAAAAGUAUUUCCAUGUAUUUCUCGUCCGAGUGAUCAUCGAGAAACGAGAAGUCUAUGAUUCUUUCCCCGAUAUUGUUUCCAAAGAAUUCUUGAUAAUUCUUUCCGAACGUGUAGUCAAGUCUCGCAUCGAACUAAUCCCUAAAAUUAUCUCGUAACCAAGCCUCAGUAAGCACGAUAUGUGCAAGUCAGCAAUCAGGGCAUGAUACGAUCACUACGAGGUAGUAGUGGCGCCCUUCGGUCGAACCAUUUUCUUGGUCAUAUAGAUAAGCAAAGCAAUCAUACUCGUAAACCUUUCCAAAAGCUAAGGCAAUAAAGAAUUAGUCGACACCGGGAACACCCAUGGAAACCUGUCGAUUCUUGGGUUCUGCCGACUAUAAUUGUAGACUCAUGUAGAAGUUUCCCUUAGAACCAUCGGACCCUUAGUUACUCUGCCAUGUGACAAUGUACCCAAUUGUUGGAGGUUUUACCCUGGAAAGACAUAGUACGCCUUAAGAAAUGCGGAAAACUUAACUUGUGGAACCUUAGAUUCUUUGAGAUCCUCGUUAGAAACCGAUUCCAUAGUCCUCUCCGAGCUAUCUUCAGGAACUUAGCAGCGAGCAUCCGGUAUUCCACAUCGUUGUUUGUGAGAAGUGCUAACCUGAUGAANUUGGGUAGUUCUCCUACUUUGUCAUGGGAGUCCUUAGGUUUUUGAUUUAGGGUGUUCUUUCAGGAACACACGUGUAGGUGGCCUUGGUUGUCAUUAGGGUUUGUACCGCUGGCACCGCUCUCGUUUCCGUUUGCGUUGUCAGCGCUAAGUUGUACCAUGACGGCUGUCGCAGCGGCUGUUAUGGUGGCUUGAAAUGUAGUGAGGUCCAUUUUUAGAACUAGUGUUUCGUCUAUGGGUUGGUUACUUCCUUUUUGUGGCAUGAUUCUGUUGUAUGGUGUAACAACCCGAAAUUCAUAUCCCUAAAUGUAACCCUUCUCACGACUCGUUCUGAUCAUCCAAUCGCUGUUUCCGAUUUCGUUUCCAUUUCCGAUCUUUUAUUAAGUCGUUGAUGUGGAUUUUAUUUUAUGACCUAAUAAGUGUCUUAAUACCCUUAGAACUCAUUCUAACGUCUCAUAUUAAUGAUCGGAACAUUUCUAGAAUCAACCAUAUCGAGUUACGGCAAAUUGGCCGGGUGCGACCAAAAGCCCCGUCUAACGCCGAUAUCUGGUAGAAUUCUACCGUGUCCAGAACUUGGACACUAUUUAAAGUGAUCCAAGUCUUCAUUUUGAAGCUUUUGCUCCAUUUUACAACUCUCACUCCAACCUCUCUCCUCAAACUAGACUUAAGGGUCCAAAUCUUGAGUUUAAGGCUUCAAAUCACCAAGGUACCUUCCCUAAUUUGUUAUGCAACCUCUCUAGCCUUCAAAUUCGAGUUUAAACCAUGGAUUAGGACCAUUAUCAUGAGUUUACGGCCCUAGAAUAGUCCUAGGCCGUAAACUCAUAUAAAUGGGGUUUUUGGAGCAACAAAACCCUUCCAAACCACAAUUAGACCUUGAAUAUGGCUAGAUGACUUAAUGAAAUGGAACAAGAAUGCCUCAAACCAUGACUUAGAGCCUUAUAUAUGAGUUUACGGCCCAUAAUGGUGCUUAGGCCGUAAACACAUAUUUAAAGGGUUUUUCAGCCCUUAAACCCUUCCAUGGCACAAACAAGACUUAGAUAUGACUUUUAGAAUAUUGGUUAUGGACCUAGAACACCUUAGACAUGAAUUUUGAGUGGUUUAUAUGAGUUUACGGCCAAGGCAUGUGCUUGGGCCGUAAAAUCCUCAAUCAUGGGUGUAAACUCAUUUUUAAGGUGUUAGAAAGCCAUCCAACACCACCAAAAGCCUUGGAAUAAAUCAUAGAACCAACCAAAAAUAGUUUAGGGGAUUUAAACACAACCAAACUCAUCAUUUGAGAGUUUACGGCCAUAGCAUGUGUUCCAUGGCCGUAAACUCCUAAAAGCAUGUCAUUUUGUUCCCCAAAUGCAUUUCAAGGCUUGUAAGGAUUUUAGGAAUCACAUGUGAUUAACUUUGGGACCUUAAAAACAAUUAUUCAAGGGAGUAUGAGAGUUCACGGCCAUAGGCUCCAUGCCAAGGCUGUAAACUCCCUUAAGUGUGAUAUUUGAUGUUAUAAAUUAAUUCCAAGCCUUAGGAAAAAUUAUUCCAAGCAUUUCCAAGUGAUAAUAGCCAUUUAUGACCCUUUAAGCACCAUAAAUCUUGCCAACAUGAGUUCACGGCCGUGAACUCAUGUGUGAGUGGUGUAUAGGCCGUAAAUUUCAUUAGGAACUUUAACUUGGGGAGUAUCUCAAAUCCCAAGUCCCUCGCUUCAAUUCCCGUCCGAAAAUGUCACCCGGGUCACUCCAAACACCCGUUUUGAGGUGUUUUCGUUUGUUGGAGUGUAACAUCAUAUCUAAUUAGAGUUUAUGAAUGUAAUUAGAUAUAUUUGUAUGCCAUUUCAUUUUACAUAGGAACCUCGCGUGUUAUCAGGGCUCGAUUCAAUGUUUAGCAUCCGAAACCGACACAUUUCCACAUCCGGUAAGUUCAUACCCCUACCCUUUUUCAAUGGUUUUUCAAUGUUUUCAGGGGGGGAAUACAAGCAAAAGUACAAGAAUAUCUUAUACUCAAUCGCAUGAUUUCAGAUAAAUGGUUUCAUAAUUGUACAUUUUUUAGAAUUGAAAACCUUUUUAACAAACUGUUUAGACUUGCAGUGUUGUUUGUUUUAACCCGAUUUUCAAUUCUUAUCAUAUACUGUUAUAUUGUAUACUUUACAUAUGAUUGUUCCCACAUAUAUUGAUAGAACACAUAAAAUAUUGUAAUGUCUGUAAUAAAACACUUAGGUUCGAGUGUAAAAGACAGACACCAUUAGAAAACAUAAAACAUAUGUAUCUCCUUAACAAUACACCUAGGCUCGAGUGUGAUAGAUAAAUACCAUCGUAACACAAAAAUCAAUUGUAACGUCCUUAAUAAUACACCUAGGAUCGAGUGUAAAGGAUAAGUAAUCACUAAAUAACUUAGAACAACUGUAAUGUCCUUAAUAAAACACCUAGGCUCGAGUGUAAAGGACAGUCAUCAUUUAGAUAACACCUAGGCUCGAGUGUAAUGUCCUUAAUAAAACACCUAGGCUCGAGUGUAAAGGACAGGCACGUUAGAACUUAGUUAGUCGUAGAUACUACUUCUCUAGGCGAGAAGUGAUGAGUAAUCUUAAAGAUUGGAGACACGUCCUUGUAAC